AUGAACGCUGGCGGCGUGCUUAACACAUGCAAGUCGAACGAAGAUAUUUAGAAUGAGAGCUUCGGCAGGAUUUUUAUCUAUCUUAGUGGCGGACGGGUGAGUAACGUGUGGGCAACCUGCCCUGUACUGUGGAAUAAUCAUUGGAAACGAUGACUAAUACCGCAUGUGGUCCUCGGAAGGCAUCUUCUGAGGAAGAAAGGAUUUAUUCGGUACAGGAUGGGCCCGCAUCUGAUUAGCUAGUUGGUGAGAUAACAGCCCACCAAGGCGACGAUCAGUAGCCGACCUGAGAGGGUGAUCGGCCACAUUGGGACUGAGACACGGCCCAAACUCCUACGGGAGGCAGCAGUGGGGAAUAUUGCACAAUGGGCGAAAGCCUGAUGCAGCAACGCCGCGUGAAGGAUGAAGGGUUUCGGCUCGUAAACUUCUAUCAAUAGGGAAGAAACAAAUGACGGUACCUAAAUAAGAAGCCCCGGCUAACUACGUGCCAGCAGCCGCGGUAAUACGUAGGGGGCAAGCGUUAUCCGGAAUUACUGGGUGUAAAGGGAGCGUAGGCGGCAUGGUAAGCCAGAUGUGAAAGCCUUGGGCUUAACCCGAGGAUUGCAUUUGGAACUAUCAAGCUAGAGUACAGGAGAGGAAAGCGGAAUUCCUAGUGUAGCGGUGAAAUGCGUAGAUAUUAGGAAGAACACCAGUGGCGAAGGCGGCUUUCUGGACUGAAACUGACGCUGAGGCUCGAAAGCGUGGGGAGCAAACAGGAUUAGAUACCCUGGUAGUCCACGCCGUAAACGAUGAGUGCUAGGUGUCGGGGAGGAAUCCUCGGUGCCGCAGCUAACGCAAUAAGCACUCCACCUGGGGAGUACGACCGCAAGGUUGAAACUCAAAGGAAUUGACGGGGGCCCGCACAAGCGGUGGAGCAUGUGGUUUAAUUCGAAGCAACGCGAAGAACCUUACCAAGGCUUGACAUCCCGAUGACCGUCCUAGAGAUAGGACUUCUCUUCGGAGCAUCGGUGACAGGUGGUGCAUGGUUGUCGUCAGCUCGUGUCGUGAGAUGUUGGGUUAAGUCCCGCAACGAGCGCAACCCCUGUACUUAGUUGCCAGCAUGUAGAGAUGGGAACUCUAAGUAGACUGCCGCGAAUAACGCGGAGGAAGGUGGGGAUGACGUCAAAUCAUCAUGCCCCUUAUGUCUUGGGCUACACACGUGCUACAAUGGCUGGUAACAAAGUGACGCGAGACGGCGACGUUAAGCAAAUCACAAAAACCCAGUCCCAGUUCGGAUUGUAGUCUGCAACUCGACUACAUGAAGCUGGAAUCGCUAGUAAUCGCGAAUCAGCAUGUCGCGGUGAAUACGUUCCCGGGCCUUGUACACACCGCCCGUCACACCAUGGGAGUUGGAAGCACCCGAAGUCGGUGACCUAACCGUAAGGAAGGAGCCGCCGAAGGUGAAGCCAGUGACUGGGGUG
rnacentral:rRNA from 1 species